GUUGAAGCUGCCUACAAAAUCAACAAGAAGGAUAGGGUGAAGUUGACUAAGCUUCACUGAUCUAAGAUUGGGCACUCUAUUUCGUAGGAUCACUAUUGUCCUGAAAUUGAUGAUUUCCUGAAGGAUAAGGAUAAGGAGCACUAGAUGUUGAAUAAGAAUUUCCUUAAUUUUUCUUUUUGUUCCAUAAUCUACCAUCUCUCCCAUUAUUCUACUGACUUGCACCUUGCUCUAAAUAUC
rnacentral:lncRNA from 1 species